ACGCUGGCGGCAUGCCUUACACAUGCAAGUCGAACGGCAGCACGGAGCUUGCUCUGGUGGCGAGUGGCGAACGGGUGAGUAAUAUAUCGGAACGUACCCUAGAGUGGGGGAUAACGUAGCGAAAGUUACGCUAAUACCGCAUACGAUCUAAGGAUGAAAGUGGGGGAUCGCAAGACCUCAUGCUCGUGGAGCGGCCGAUAUCUGAUUAGCUAGUUGGUAGGGUAAAAG
rnacentral:rRNA from 1 species